rnacentral:lncRNA from 1 species
UCAAUAGAUAGCUACCUGUCCAAGUGUGGAGAGAAGUACAAUGACAUCGACCUGACCAUCGACACGGAGAUCUACGAGCAGCUCUUAGAGGAAGGUGAGCAGCGUACCCCACGCCUGCCUUGUUCAUAUGUGCACCUUUGUUCUUCAAAGCACUCUGAACUUUUUGCUGACUCCUGGUCUGGUUUCUGUUUUUAGUGUGAAGUCUCUAACUUUUCUUAUGAGGCUGCUUGUUCCUAAAGUUUCAAGUUCCAAAUCCUUGUGAGAUCUUCUUGACUUUUAGCAAAAGGAACUUGUUGGAGCUCUGUAUCUAGGUCCACACCAGUGCCCAGAAGGCAUUGUGUGAGGAGUGAGUAAACUCCGAGUCUUCCCCAGUGUCCAUAGGAUAAAACCCUGGGCAAGGUGAGAGCACUGAACCACCCAGCCAUUCCUAAGCUUCUAGACCCUUUCUUCAGUCUGUGGACUUAGAAAUCCUACAUGGUGCUUUGCCCUUUGCAGUUAGUCCCCUGCGGUCUGUCUUUGCAGGCAUCGAUCACCUUCUGGCACAGCACGUUGCUCAUCUCUUUAUUAGAGACCCACUGACCCUUUUUGAAGAGAAAAUUCAUCUGGAUGAUGCCAACGAGUCUGACCAUUUUGAGGUAUCUCCCAUUCGAAUGUAUUUCACUGCAUAAACUAAAGGAAGUUUGUUUCUGUGCCUGUGAGGAUUAGUGACAGGAAAAUGUCUUCCAUUACCUAGUACAAUACAGAGCUAAGAAAA